rnacentral:rRNA from 1 species
GACGAACGCUGGCGGCGUGCUUAACACAUGCAAGUCGAACGGUGAAGCGCCUUCCUUUUUGGUGGGUGUGGAUGAGUGGCGAACGGGUGAGUAACACGUGAGUAACCUGCCCCCUUCUUCUGGAUAACCGCAUGAAAGUGUGGCUAAUACGGGAUAUUCUGGGUCUGUCGCAUGAUGGGUCUGGGAAAGAUAUUGUUUCGGUGGGGGAUGGGCUCGCGGCCUAUCAGCUUGUUGGUGGGGUGAUGGCCUACCAAGGCGGUGACGGGUAGCCGGCCUGGGAGGGUGGACGGUCACACUGGGACUGAGACACGGCCCAGACUCCUACGGGAGGCAGCAGUGGGGAAUAUUGCACGAUGGGCGCAAGCCUGAUGCAGCGACGCCGCGUGAGGGAUGGAGGCCUGCGGGUUGUGAACCUCUUUCGCCAGUGAAGCAGGCCUGCCUCGUUUGUGGGUGGGUUGACGGUAGCUGGAUAAGAAGCGCCGGCUAACUACGUG